GCGCGAAAACUUUACAAUGCUGGCAACAGCGAUAAGGGAGCCUCGAGUGCCAGGUUACAAAUCUGGCUGUCGAGAUGCCUAAAAAGCAUUUCAUAGCAAGGGCCGGGCAAGACCGGUGCCAGCCGCCGCGGUAACACCGGCGGCUCGAGUGGUAACCGUUAUUAUUGGGUCUAAAGGGUCUGUAGCCGGCCGGAUAAGUCUCUUGAGAAAUCUGGCAGCUUAACUGUCAGGCUUUCAGGAGAUACUGUCCGGCUCGAGGCCGGGAGAGGUGAGAGGUACUUCAGGGGUAGGGGUGAAAUCUUGUAAUCCUUGAAGGACCACCAGUGGCGAAGGCGUCUCACCAGAACGGACCUGACGGCAAGGGACGAAAGCUAGGGGCACGAACC
rnacentral:rRNA from 1 species